rnacentral:rRNA from 1 species
GAUGAACGCUGGCGGCGUGCUUAACACAUGCAAGUCGAACGAACCUUCGGGUUAGUGGCGGACGGGUGAGUAACGCGUGAGAAUCUGCCCUCAGGAGGGGGAUAACGGCUGGAAACGGCCGCUAAUACCCCAUAUGCCGAGAGGUGAAACGAAAUUCGCCUGAGGAUGAGCUCGCGUCUGAUUAGCUAGUUGGUGGGGUAAGAGCCUACCAAGGCAUCAAUCAGUAGCUGGUCUGAGAGGAUGAUCAGCCACACUGGGACUGAGACACGGCCCAGACUCCUACGGGAGGCAGCAGUGGGGAAUUUUCCGCAAUGGGCGAAAGCCUGACGGAGCAACGCCGCGUGAGGGAUGAAGGCCUCUGGGCUGUAAACCUCUUUUAUCAAGGAAGAAGAUCUGACGGUACUUGAUGAAUAAGCCACGGCUAAUUCCGU